UACGAAGGGGGCUAGCGUUGCUCGGAAUCACUGGGCGUAAAGCGCACGUAGGCGGACUCUUAAGUCAGGGGUGAAAUCCUGGAGCUCAACUCCAGAACUGCCUUUGAUACUGGGAGUCUUGAGUUCGGGAGAGGUGAGUGGAACUGCGAGUGUAGAGGUGAAAUUCGUAGAUAUUCGCAAGAACACCAGUGGCGAAGGCGGCUCACUGGCCCGAUAUUGACGCCGAGGUGCGAAAGCGUGGGGAGCAAACAGG
rnacentral:rRNA from 1 species